GUUAGUUGGCCAAAUGCAGUAGACUUUAGUUGAUUACAUUCCUAUUAAUUCAUUCUUCUUUUUUGGUCAAUUCAAUCUCAGCUCGAGGUCUUGAUCGGCCUGCCGUUGGACACUGCUAUGCGCCCAAACUGUCAUUAUUUAUGGCUUGGGCCUCGCCGAAUUAGUGAAAGGCCCGUCACUUUCUCCGCAUACGGCGAUUUUCGGCCAACUUUCGGCAGAUUUUGAAGCGAUCAUGGCAGCUCAAAUUACAUGGUUUUCAUUUUUACCGAUUCUAAUGCACAAUUUUUUUUUUGUUGUUGUUUUUACAGCAAAGCUGUUAAGGGCUGCUUUUUUUCCCCACAAUCGUUUUUUCCCCACUCGCCGCGUGUAGAAAAAAAAAUCCUGAGGAUGGUGAAAUGCCGGGCCGACCCACGGCGGAGGUGACGCAGGCGUUAAGCACUCCCCAUACGUGGGCCGAUCCCGAAGAUAUUGAUAUGCCGGGCCGACCCGCGGCGGAGAGGAGGUGCCGUUCGUCAUUAAGAGGCUCACAUACACAGCUUCGCUGGUCAUCCUUCUUCACAGAGUGGAAGGGCACUGAAUCUUUUUCUUAUUAUAUAUAUGUGUAAGGUUGGUAAAUAGCUUACAUGCGAAACCGAAACUGCGUUCGCCACGUUAGCGUGCGACGGCCUGCAGGGUCUACUGUCAAGAGUGAGCGCCAUCGUCAUCGCAACAUGGCGGCUGAGCUCGUCUUGUUUAUGCGUUGUAUGGCGACGACGACGCGCUGCAUUCAAGCUUACGAAGGCUCACUCAAAAGAUAAGUAGUUGUACAUGCAGGCAGCGACAACAGAGGCGCGUAACGUUCUUUUGGCGCUCCGGAUACUUGCAUGCAUCGCAAGAUCGACUGGCAAAGUGGUUAGUCAUGGCGUAGGCCGCCAUCUCGUUCGCAAUGGUUGCGGAGUUUAUAGUGGACUGCACGAUGAAAAACAUGUUAAAAAUGUCUUUUAGAUAGACAACAAUAGUCAUCAAUGUAGAUAAAUCUGCCAUUAUAUACUCAUUCCUUUUUAACAAUGAAAGUCAGACAUUUCGUGCCACUUUAAGCCGACUGGACGACGAAGCGUCCACAGAAGAAAAACGGACUAAGGUCUCGAAAGUCAUCCGUGCUGUAGGCCGCAAAAGCGCUAGCUGCUGUACUUUUACAAGGCUACUGAGCUCUGCGAUUGUCUUUUGUGCGGUGAAGGCUGUUAUCUCUGCGUGCGCGCAUCACAUGUUCAUUUCCAUAGUUUCUGCCAGCUUCUUUUCCUCCCAGUGUUGUAGGGUAGCAAACUAGGUGCAACCUGUUUAACCUCUCUUAUCAUUCCUUCUCCCUGUGAAGAAUGAAGACAUGCUACAACCUGUCAUAUGGCCACUCAUGAAUGCCAGUGAGAUCGACAGACUGAUAAACCUGCUGUGCUGCGUGCCUGCUGGAUUCAUUUUACUGCAUAGAGCAGUCCAUGCCUGAGCUACUUGCAUAUUAAUGCUUAGCCUUUCAGAAUGACAACUAUGGCCAGAACAUUUUAUGCGCAUAGUGGCUAACACAAAAAGCUAGGGUAUGUGUGUAAUACCAGUGCCUCAUGAAAAAAAAAAAAUGGAAUUAACUAGUUUUUUUUAUCCAAGUUUAAUGCCAUUCAAACAGUGUCACACAAAUGUACUUAAAGGCCAACUGUAACAAAAUUUUGAACAACAUAAAAAGCUUAGAUUCAGAUAGAUAUACAGCAGCCUUCAUGCAAAAUUAUAUGUUUGAAAUACCGGUGGACAUGACAGGAAAAGUGUGCUGCUAACCUGAAGGUUAAUAGCUUUAUUCUUCUCCUUCCACAAGUUUUACCAGUUAGUAAAUGUCUCAUUCUCCAGCCUCUAUGACGUGUGUGUGGCGGAAUCAUUUCAUUUCCUGGGUGCCCUUUCUGCUGAUGCCUUACAAUUGAAAAAGUAUUUCUUUUUGCUGCUGUGUACAGCUUUGUGUACCUUCUUUCUGGCAUAGUUUAUUUUUGGCUCUUCACUUGCUGUUAUUAAAUUAUCCUUUCUUGUAUUCAAUGUUGAUUGCAUAUUGUUGUUUCUAUAGCAGUGUGAUGGUGAAGCUUAAGAAUGGGCUCGGAUGCACAUUGUCUGUUUCAGACAGUUAAAUAAAAUAAGUCUAUGUCAUUUACAAUGUAAACAUUUAUACUGUUCAUAUGCUUCUAACAAAGUGGAGGGGUAACUUGAAGAACGUAAAUAACUAUUGCCAUAGAACCCAUCUGUGGUUACAAAUGGUUGGCAGUAAGGUUAAGAAAAAUGUAUUUUGAGAUAUCUUAAGGUCAGUGUUCUUGCAUCAUUUCUGUGUCCAUUAAGCUGUGAUAUUGGAAGCUGUGCAAAUGCUACUUGACUGUAUAAAUUAUGUUUUUACUUUAAGCAUGCUUUAGUAAUUGCACUGUUAAAAAUUGUUUUGUGAUGUUCAACCAACUGAAGGAUGUGGCCGUUAUCUUUUUCAACUCUAAAAAAGCUUCUUCCUUAACUGCAUUUGCUUGCUCUUCGGUAGUGCGAUUCCUAAGGAACACUCUUUAUGUAGGGUAUGCCUCUAAAUUGUGAACCUCAAGAAUUAACUACAUGCAUCUGCGCGAGGGAGUGAUGGGCCUGUUUGGAUGUGACAAUGUAUGAGCAGCAUAAACUCGGUAUCCCUUUUGGACAUUGAAAGAAGCAUAAGAGUUAGCCCUGGCACAUAAUUUAUUUUGGGUUGUGUGGUGCCUGCUGUCCUGUUUUACUCUUUUCUGGUGUAGUAGCACGACUGAGGUACACUAUUUUGCUCUUUUUACACUGUACUGGUUGCUUUCUCCGAGUUAAAUCUCUUGGAUUGUGAUGGA